rnacentral:rRNA from 1 species
CCUACGGGAGGCAGCAGUGGGGGAUAUUGCACAAUGGGGGGAAGCCUGAACCAGCCAAGUAGCGUGCAGGAUGACGGCCCUACGGGUUGUAAACUGCUUUUAUACGGGAAUAACGCGCCUUACGUGUAGGGCUUUGUAUGUACCGUAUGAAUAAGGACCGGCUAAUUCCGUGCCAGCAGCCGCGGUAAUACGGAAGGUCCGGGCGUUAUCCGGAUUUAUUGGGUUUAAAGGGAGCGUAGGCCGCAUGUCAAGCGUGCUGUGAAAUGUCCGGACUCAACCCGGGCCUUGCAGCGCGAACUGGCGUGCUUGAGUCCGCGGAAAGCAGGCGGAAUUCGUCGUGUAGCGGUGAAAUGCUUAGAUAUGACGAAGAACCCCGAUUGCGAAGGCAGCUUGCUGCAGCGGAACUGACGCUGAUGCUCGAAAGCGCGGGUAUCGAACAGGAUUAGAUACCCCGGUAGUC